CUAAAAGCUAAAUUAUGUCUUUUAUUCGAAACUUUUUUUUAACUGGGUUUAACAAUCUUCAUUAGGGCAGAAAUAUUAAGCUGAAAUAGAACGAAAACAAACGCACGCAUUUUUCGGUUUCUUUUUCUCCCGAAAGAACAAAGACUGUCAUAUUUUAACGGUGUCAAAUUCGUUAAAAUUUUGUAUUUCAGUUGUGUUUUUUGUUUUCACUUUUCUAAACUAAUAAUGUUUAAAAACUAUAAAAAUGUUUAUUCUUAUACAUGGACUAUAGAAAAUUUUUCUUUCUGUCAUCAUAGAACAGGCUCUAGUUUACAUUGCUCUUUUAUUGAUAAAAAUGUUAGCGAACGGUUAUGGCGUUUAGAUAUAUUUCCAAGAGGGUAUAAGCAAGAAAGCUCAGCUUUCAUUUCUUGUGUCUUACGAAAUUUCAGUGAUAGUAUUGCAGAUCUUGACGAUUACGCCAAUCUUGGUACGGAUGUUGAAUGCGGCUUCAAAAUUGAAAUUAUUGGUGCAAGUGGAAAAAAGUUAAGAACUCACGAAGAAACGAUUGCUCAACCUGUGUGGUUGUGCCGAAAAUUUCUUGAGAUACAAAGAGUUGUUCAAGAGGCAGAAAAUAGUGAAAAUGACACUUUGACUGUCCUAUGUCAUGUGUAUGGAAAUAAUUCUGAUAAACAGGCGAAUGAUAAGGAUGCUUGGUGCUCCAAAAUGCUUAUUGAUCGGCUACAUUGUAGCUGGGAGAAAAACAUAAUAGUUGAAAAAAUUCUUCAGGAAAAUUUUGUUUUUCCGAAAAGUGCAGAAUUUAAGGUAGUCCUCACUAUGCUCGGCGAUUUCCUUAAAAUAAAUAUUAUAAAAGUCAAUUCAAAAUCUUUCACGGAUCAUAUUGUGGAGUGUAAAUUGUCAUUGCUUGCUUGUGAUGUUUAUGAUGAAAGCAGAAAGGCAAUAGAUUAUCUCUGUACACAAAAAGCGACACAUUUCUUUAAAUCUAAGCAUUUUUCUAGACCAGAAACAUGGGAAUUUCCCUCUGAUAUAAUUUCUUACAAGCUCAAUGAGCAUAUUUCAUCAGUUAUUGGCUGCAAGACAUCUUUUAGUUAUAGACUUUUUUGUGAAUUUUUGUGCUCAAAUGGUUUGGAACAAGUGCUUCCUGUGACUGUAACAAAUACUGAUACUGUUGUUAAAAAGCAUCCAACUUUAAAAGAUGAUUUACAACAGAUGUUUUUAACUAAAAAGCAUUGUGACAUUAAGUUAAGAGUAGAUAAUCAAGUUAUAGAAGCCCAUAAAAAUGUUUUGACUGCGCGAUCACCAGUAUUUUCUACUAUGUUUGAACAGAACAUGACAGAAGCUUGUACUGGUAUUAUUGACAUUGUUGAUAUUGAUGUAAAAACUAUGUAUCUACUCUUAGAGUUCUUGUACACCGAUACUGUUAAUGGACUGGAUGUUGAACAGGCUAAAUCAUUGAUACUUGCUGCUGAAAAGUAUCAGGUUCUAUCACUUAAAGAAAAGUGUGCUGAUAUAUUAUAUUCUGAAAUGUCUGUUGAAAAUAUGUGUGAAAUUUUAGUAUUGGCCGAUACUGUUGCUGAUGUAGAGCUAAAAUCGGCUGCUAUAGAGUUUAUGGAGGCAAAUGUAGACAAAGUUAAGACAUAUACAGAUUGGGAAUUAUGGAAAGAAACUCACCCAAAAUUAACAGCUGAAGUUCGUGCUAAAUUUAAGGCAAUCUUUUCCUCAACAAAAAUGUCAGAAUCUGUUGAGUUUAUUAACAAUUUAAUAACAUGAAUGACUGCGAAGGAGUUAAUAAGGGGACUAUUAAAAUGAUUUACCGCUUUUGGUUAAAAAGGACCAGAAAAUUUGGAGAUUCCUUAGGACCAGUGGCUUACAGCUUACAAAGUCUACCAGAAUCACUGUGUAUGUCAUUGAAUCUAUUCUUAUUUUAAAAUAGAUUGCAUUUCUGCUUAUCACCUGGAAAAAAGAUGAAUACACUAAAAUAUUUGCUUAACAUGUGAUGGAUGAUGUCAUCCAAAUUCAAAGAUUAAAUAGAAUUUGUUUUGUGUCAGUACUUUUAUGACGUUUACUACUGAUGUAUAUACUACUGAUGCGACUUUGGAACAAAUUGAUAUAAAUUGCACUCAACAAUUCAUCAAAAUAAAUAAAAUUUCAAGAAAUGGAUACCAGUUGUGAGUUGCAAAAUUGGAAUCAUCCUUUUUAAAUGUUGCUUUUUAAAAUUCCUUUUUGUUAACAAAUUUUGAAUCAUAAAAAAAAGUGGUUAUUUUCAGCAGAUUGUUUCAUUUUAAGUGCAAUAAUUAUGUAGUAUUACAUUGUAUUAAUAAAUCUCUUUCAUGUAACUGUU
rnacentral:misc_RNA from 1 species